rnacentral:rRNA from 1 species
GUGUCAGCCGCCGCGGUAAUACGGAGGAUGCAAGCGUUAUCCGGAUUCAUUGGGUUUAAAGGGUGCGUAGGCGGCUUUUUAAGUCAGUGGUGAAAUCUUGCCGCUUAACGGUAAAAUUGCCAUUGAUACUGAUAAGCUUGAGUACAAUUGAGGUAAGCGGAAUGUGUAGUGUAGCGGUGAAAUGCUUAGAUAUUACACAGAACACCGAUUGCGAAGGCAGCUUACUAAACUGUUACUGACGCUGAUGCACGAAAGCGUGGGGAGCGAACAGGAUUAGAUACCCCGGUAGUCC